rnacentral:rRNA from 1 species
GACGAACGCUGGCGGCGUGCUUAACACAUGCAAGUCGAGCAGUAAGGCCCUUCGGGGUACACGAGCGGCGAACGGGUGAGUAACACGUGGGUGACCUGCCCCCUACUCUGGGAUAAGCCUGGGAAACUGGGUCUAAUACCGGAUAUGACUACAUGUCGCAUGGUGUGUGGUGGAAAGGUUUUUCGGUGGGGGAUGGGCCCGCGGCCUAUCAGCUCGUUGGUGGGGUGAUGGCCUACCAAGGCGACGACGGGUAGCCGGCCUGAGAGGGCGACCGGCCACACUGGGACUGAGACACGGCCCAGACUCCUACGGGAGGCAGCAGUGGGGAAUAUUGCGCAAUGGGCGGAAGCCUGACGCAGCGACGCCGCGUGAUGGAUGAAGUCCUUCGGGACGUAAACAUCUUUUAUGGGGGAUGACAUUUCGACAGUACCCCAAGGAUAAGGGGCUCCUAACUCUGUGCCAGCCGCCGCCGUAAGAC